CAGUGAUAAACAUGAACUAAAGAAUCAGGUAUACCUGCAGAUUCUCUUGUAAGGGGUUGGGUCCAUUGCUGCCCCAUAAGCUGAAACGAUUUAGAACAAACGAUGCACUUGCCCAGGAAUGGAAAGAGUUUUCAACCAUUAUUAUAAGUACAUUUGUCCAAGAGAAGAGGCCAGAAGAGAUAUUCUACAUUAAGAUGGCAGUAAAUCCCUCCUUUGUAAAAAGAGGGAAGUCAAUGGCCACUGACGCCAUUGCAAGGUAGCCUUCAAUUUAAAAUUGUUGUUGACCCUGCCUUGAGCUGACAUUGUUGUCUUUGGGGUAAGGCACAAAUGCAGGAAAAUCAAAAUGCUCUUGUUUUCAUUUUUAGAAGAAAAAAACCUGAAAAUGCUACCUAAGCCUGCAACUAGGACUGGUAGAAGAAGGAGAGCUGGUGGGGUGUAAUGGGAGAAAGUGGCCGUCAGGCCGCCUGACCGUAGCCUUCGCGCUGCAAAUCUGGUUUUCAUAUUCUCGCUCAGUAAUCACCCAAAGCCGUAACUGUCUCUGAAAUUAUUCAUUAAAGUCAUUUUCAGGGGUUCUCGCAGGGCGACUCUUUCACAUUUAUGAUCUCCUGAGAGCUAUGACAAGCCUCUGUCUUUUUCCCCCCUUUAAUUGAUGUGCUGGGAAGAGGAGAGGGGCAGUGGCUGCGUACGUGGGGAGGGGGCGGGGACGGGGGUGGAAUCCGCGGGCCGGUCUGCUCCUGGCCGGGUCAGCUGAGCUCCGGCGCGCAGACAUCCUUUGAUUAAGGAGGGUAUUUCGAGGAGUGCAGGCUGUGCAGAAGAUCACGGCUGUGCCCUGUGGUGCUGUCAGCAGUGACAGAUCCCAGAUGGGGCCGCUACUGUAUGGCAGAUUGAGUUUCUCAGCAGAAAACUAGCCCUCCCUCCUAAACGUCUUCAAAAACCUUCUCCAGAUCCUCCAGGUCGCUUCGUGUGAACUGAAAAAUUCCAACCCCCAAGUUGGUUUGGCGUGCCUGUGUGAAUGUUAGGUUUUGGUUUUUUUUAAAUCUCCCCUUCUUUUUUCCCUGCACAUCCUCCGCCUCUGAGCAUCUUCGCCCUGCAGGGCUAUCCGGCUGCAAAGAGCGCAGCUUUGCGGGCCUGGGGGAUCUCUUCGCCCGCCCCGCAGCGCCGACGACCCUGCAUCGAGGGGCCGCGAAGGCAAUCCGUCCUGGCUGGAGCAGUGAGUCUGUCAAUCCCAGGCAAGAGACAAGGCAGACAAAGGCUCAUUUGUAAAGGACCUCCUUCCAGCACCUCCUCUCUUCUCCUCUUGCUCAAACUCAUCCAGUGAGUUGGAGCAUUUACGAACAUCCUUCUGCCAAGAAGACCAAAAGGGAAGAAGAAAGUGGUAUGUAAUUUUUGCUUAAAACCAUUUUUAUGACAUUUAUUCUACUCAAAACUGCUGCUGUACAUUAGAACAGAAAUGUAUGUAUGUGUUAAGUCAAAGGAAAAGAUAGACAGAGAGAUCUUCUGAGGAGAUGGUGCAUGGACUAUGAAAAAGAUGUUUCCUAGGAUAAAGUAAAGGAAUCAGAGAAAAAGGGAGCAGAAAAUGUAUAUUCCUUGACUGGUAAAGUCAUUUAGUCACAGGUUAAGAAAGAGGCAGCUUCCUACCAUUAUUCAUCAUUAGUCCCAAAACCUACUCGGAAUCUAGUUCUUAUACAACAGGACUUUAUUAUUUCACUCCUUAGAACCAUGUAAGGAUGCUGAAGGAUAUGCAUUCUUUUUAAAAUGCAGUGGUGUAUCUCUGUAUUUACAUUAUU
ensembl:lincRNA